rnacentral:rRNA from 1 species
GAUGAACGCUGACAGAAUGCUUAACACAUGCAAGUCGAUCCGAUUUACCUUCGGGUAUUGAGGAUGGCGGACGGGUGAGUAACGCGUAAGGAACUUGCCUCUUGGUCUGGGACAACUGUUGGAAACGACAGCUAAUACCGGAUAUUAUGAGAUUCUCGCAUGGGAAACUUAUGAAAGCUAUAUGCGCCAAGAGAGAGCCUUGCGUUCCAUUAGCUAGUUGGUGGGGUAACGGCCCACCAAGGCGACGAUGGAUAGCCGGCCUGAGAGGGUGAACGGCCACAAGGGGACUGAGACACGGCCCUUACUCCUACGGGAGGCAGCAGUGGGGAAUAUUGGACAAUGGGCCACAAGCCUGAUCCAGCAAUUCUGUGUGCACGAUGAAGGUCUUCGGAUUGUAAAGUGCUUUCAGUUGGGAAGAAGAAAGUGACGGUACCAACAGAAGAAGCGACGGCUAAAUACGUGCCAGCAGCCGCGGUAAUACGUAUGUCGCAAGCGUUAUCCGGAUUUAUUGGGCGUAAAGCGCGUCUAGGCGGAAAAAUAAGUCUGAUGUUAAAAUGCGGGGCUCAACUCCGUAUUGCGUUGGAAACUGUUUUUCUAGAGUACUGGAGAGGUGGGCGGAACUACAAGUGUAGAGGUGAAAUUCGUAGAUAUUUNUAGGAAUG